GACGAACGCUGGCGGCGUGCUUAACACAUGCAAGUCGAACGAAGUGGCGAACGGGUGAGUAACGCGUAAUCAACCUGCCCUUCAGCGGGGGACAACAGUUGGAACCGACUGAUAAUACCGCAUACUGAAGGAGGGGCUUGCGUCUGAUUAGCUCGUUGGAGGGGUAACGGCCCACCAAGGCGAUGAUCAGUAGCCGGUUUGAGAGGAUUAACGGCCACAUUGGGACUGAGAAACGGCCCCGACUCCGACGGGAGGCAGCAGUGGGGAAUCUUCCGCAAUGGACGAAAGUCUGACGGAGCAACGCCGCGUGAGUGAUGACGGCCUUCGGGUUGUAAAGCUCUGUUAAUCGGGACGCGGUACCGGAAUAGAAAGCCACGGCUAACUACGUGCCAGCAGCCGCGGUAAUUC
rnacentral:rRNA from 1 species